CCGGAACAAGAAGUUUGUCAUCAAGGAAUGAAGAUAUCCAUUCAAUUUACAAGCCAUCUGCUCCUCACUACUGAAAACCAGAAACUGGACACAGAAUACAAGAAGCUUAAAAUUAAGAAGUUGAAGCUGGAAAUUAAGAAACUGGAGAAGGAUCUUGAAGAAAAUGAGUCAAUAAAUGAAUAACUUCAAUACAAAGUACAAAAUUAUACUUGCUACGCUUCCAAAUAAAAGGGAUCACUCCAAAACAAAGGUGACCAUAAAUAAAAUGGGGAUCAGCUGAAAUAGGUAUUCUUGUAAAGGUCCCUCACUGUUCUUCCAUCCAUGUGUUCCUGAAGGGCUGGGUCAGUGUCUUCCCAUUUGCUCCUCCUGCAACAUUGCGGGAAGUCUCACUGCGACGCAGAGUGGCAAUGUUGUGCAAGACUGCACAGGCAACGAUGAUGUCACAGGCCCUGUCAGUAGUAACCCUGAGGCUUUUUAAGCACUAAAACCUUGAUUUUGGUUGGCCAAACACCAUUUCUGUCUGUGCCCUGGUUCUUGUGUGGGCAUGGUUGAAGGCCCUUUCUGCCUCUGUUGCUGGUUCGUGGUAGGUUGUCAGCAGGUACGACAUGCAAGGAUAUCCUCUGUCCCCAAGCAGGACUCCAUUAAACUCCCCUUCAGAAUACGAGUAUUGGUUAAGUAUACAUGACAUUCUUAUGGUUAAAAUAGAUUAAUGAUCCCCUUCACACAUGUAUUAAGACUUAUAAUUGGAACAAUGAUGUGUGCCUGAUAUGGUUUUCCAGAAAAAGACUAUAAUUACCACUUUGAAUUCACUAAAAUGGCAUCUACACCUUUUCCCUCAUCACAAAUUCCCAAAUCUAUUAGUGUGCAAUAUAUAUGUUACCUGAAAAGACUCAAACAACGCUUUGUGUAGUAAAAACAUUCUUUUGCCUUGUGCAAACCUCUAGGACAGUGAUGAUGUACAAAAGAUCCUCGAAUCAUGGACAGAGCCCGGCCAUUUUGCCUUGAUGUUUGAUAUCAGGCAACUUCAGCAUAGAAGGUGACCGUCAAUGAUGUGGCACACUUUGCUUGGCAGAGCAUUAAUUUAAGAUUACUCAGCAUGACUAAGAAAGGUUGAUGAGGUGGUGUCAUUCAUAAUGUAAAGUUCAGUUCAGAAUCAUCUAAACAUUUGUUUCAUAUUCCAGAAUAAUAUUUUAGACUUUGAGUUUGACAUUGUGUGUGAUUUCAAAUCUGGUUUUGCAUCGGCCCUCUGCAAGUUCAUGUCAGUGCUAUGACAUAUUUGGUUAGGAGAGGAAAUAACUGAUUUGUUCUCUGUACUUGUGUAAUUCAUUGAUCUGUGCUGAUAAGGUAAAGUGAAACACUAUCUCUGUACAGUACAGGUGCUUCUUUGUGUAAGGCUGACACUGAAAUGCACAUUUCUGCAAACAACUGCCAGGGUAACAGGAUUUACAUCCAAAGAAGUGUCAACAUCAAAGCUAAUUUGAUCUGUUAUCACAGAUUUGCACAUUUCUUCCAGAUCUUAUUAUUACUAUUCUGCCUGACACUAUAUGGACAGUUGCACCCCAGUACAUACCUGUGCAUUUAGGCUAUAGAAAUAUUUCCUGUUGUCAUAAUCUGCCUCCAGAGAUCCAGAUGGGGCCUGGAUAUGCACAUGGGUGCAAUCUAUGGCGCCUAUGACAUUGAGGAAGCCUGAAGGAGAGUAUUAAGUUAAUACUGAGACACGUCAGCCUGCAGGCUACUUUACAUGUUUUUAACUGUCACAUACCUGCAACUGAAUAAAAAGCCUCCUUGAUUUUCUGUGUCUCCAGAUGGGAAAGUGAUAAAGAUGUUGAGGUAUUGCUUGAGAGCAAGGUAUACCCGUCUUAGUUUGCCAGCUUGAUGGAUUAGUCCUCAAACCAACCUAAAACUACACACUAUUUACACCAUUUACAAAUAAGAAGAAAGACUCCACAAGCACUCUCACACGA